rnacentral:rRNA from 1 species
UGGGUAACCUGCCCAUCAGAGGGGGAUAACAUUCGGAAACGGAUGCUAAAACCGCAUAGGUCUUCGAACCGCAUGGUUUGAAGAGGAAAAGAGGCGCAAGCUUCUGCUGAUGGAUGGACCCGCGGUGCAUUAGCUAGUUGGUGAGGUAACGGCUCACCAAGGCCGUGAUGCAUAGCCGACCUGAGAGGGUGAUCGGCCACAUUGGGACUGAGACACGGCCCAA